rnacentral:lncRNA from 1 species
AGCUACUGUCUUUGUCAAACACGUGGGAAACUCUACCGCAGUCCAGUACGAACCGCUGCGACAACAGGGCAUCACUGGAGCCGUCCGCUGCACAGAGGCCUGAGGAUGGUCACCGCGAACCUAGGGAAAUCCUGCUGGCAAUUAUCAUGUGCCUGUGCCUGCUGCUCCUGAUAGGCCUACUGGUCGUCCUCGCGAUUACUGCCACCGAUCUUGUUCGUGUUGACUCGGGCGUCACCUCUGCGGGGGACGUUGAUAAGGUCAUGAAACCCUCCUCAUUUCCUCCUGUGGCCAACGAAAUCCAACAAACUGUCUCAGCGUCGCGGCGAAUGGGAGGCAGUCCAAGGGUCACGGUAC